AGCUUGCUACCUGACCUAGCGGCGGACGGGUGAGUAAUGCUUAGGAAUCUGCCUAUUAGUGGGGGACAACAUUCCGAAAGGAAUGCUAAUACCGCAUACGCCCUACGGGGGAAAGCAGGGGAUCUUCGGACCUUGCGCUAAUAGAUGAGCCUAAGUCAGAUUAGCUAGUUGGUGGGGUAAAGGCCUACCAAGGCGACGAUCUGUAGCGGGUCUGAGAGGAUGAUCCGCCACACUGGGACUGAGACACGGCCCAGACUCCUACGGGAGGCAGCAGUGGGGAAUAUUGGACAAUGGGCGAAAGCCUGAUCCAGCCAUGCCGCGUGUGUGAAGAAGGCCUUUUGGUUGUAAAGCACUUUAAGCGAGGAGGAGGCUACUUGGAUUAAUACUCUAGGAUAGUGGACGUUACUCGCAGAAUAAGCACCGGCUAACUCUGUGCCAGCAGCCGCGGUAAUACAGAGGGUGCGAGCGUUAGUCGGAUUUACUGGGCGUAAAGCGUGCGUAGGCGGCUUUUUAAGUCGGAUGUGAAAUCCCUGAGCUUAACUUAGGAAUUGCAUUCGAUACUGGGAAGCUAGAGUAUGGGAGAGGAUGGUAGAAUUCCAGGUGUAGCGGUGAAAUGCGUAGAGAUCUGGAGGAAUACCGAUGGCGAAGGCAGCCAUCUGGCCUAAUACUGACGCUGAGGUACGAAAGCAUGGGGAGCAAACAGGAUUAGAUACCCUGGUAGUCCAUGCCGUAAACGAUGUCUACUAGCCGUUGGGGCCUUUGAGGCUUUAGUGGCGCAGCUAACGCGAUAAGUAGACCGCCUGGGGAGUACGGUCGCAAGACUAAAACUCAAAUGAAUUGACGGGGGCCCGCACAAGCGGUGGAGCAUGUGGUUUAAUUCGAUGCAACGCGAAGAACCUUACCUGGUCUUGACAUAGUAAGAACUUUCCAGAGAUGGAUUGGUGCCUUCGGGAACUUACAUACAGGUGCUGCAUGGCUGUCGUCAGCUCGUGUCGUGAGAUGUUGGGUUAAGUCCCGCAACGAGCGCAACCCUUUUCCUUAUUUGCCAGCGGGUUAAGCCGGGAACUUUAAGGAUACUGCCAGUGACAAACUGGAGGAAGGCGGGGACGACGUCAAGUCAUCAUGGCCCUUACGACCAGGGCUACACACGUGCUACAAUGGUGCAUACAGAGGGUUGCCAAGCCGCGAGGUGGAGCUAAUCCCAGAAAAUGCAUCGUAGUCCGGAUCGUAGUCUGCAACUC
rnacentral:rRNA from 1 species